GAUGAAGAACGUAGCGAAAUGCGAUACGUAAUGUGAAUUGCAGAAUUCAGUGAAUCAUCGAAUCUUUGAACGCAUAUUGCGCUCUUUGGUAUUCCGAAGAGCAUGCUUGUUUGAGUAUCAGUAAACACCUCAACCUCUUCUUGAUUUUUCAAAAGGAGGGUGGACUUGAGCUAUCCCUACAACCUUUACCGGUCGGCGGGCGGCUUGAAAUGCAGGUGCAGCUGGACUUUUAUCUGAGCUAAAAGCAUAUCUAUUUAGUCCUCGUCAAACAGGAUUAUUACUUUUGCUGCAGCUAACAUAAAGGAUAAUUGUCCUCUUUGCUGACUGAUGCAGGAUUUUACGACACUUUAUGUGUUGUUCAACUCGAUCUCAAAUCAAGUAAGACUACCCGCUGAACUUAAGCAUAUCAAUAAGCGGAGGA
rnacentral:misc_RNA from 1 species